rnacentral:rRNA from 1 species
UGCGUAGGCGGUGCUCUAAGUCUGUUGUGAAAUCUCCCGGCUCAACUGGGAGGGUGCGGCGGAAACUGGAGUGCUCGAGUGCGGGAGAGGUAAGCGGAAUUCCUGGUGUAGCGGUGAAAUGCGUAGAUAUCAGGAGGAACACCUGUGGUGUAGACAGCUUACUGGACCGCGACUGACGCUGAGGCACGAAAGCGUGGGUAGCAAACA